UUUUUUUUUUUUUUUUUUUGUAUAGAUGAAAAAGGGACCCAAAGAAUUUGAGGCCUUGUACACAUGCGUAAAUCGAGAAUCUGGUUACGUUUACAGAACUAUUUUUACAGGAGUAAACUCCCCAUUAACAUAGUCGAAAAGAAUCUGUAGGUACAUAAAAUUGUAGUCGUUCGGGUGGAACAAUAUUAUUUCCCAAAAUACGAAUGUCCUGAAAUAAACAAUUUCCGGGGCACUUCCGGUGACUUGCUGGCCACAUAUCUAUUGCCAUAAACCGAUAUAGGGCGCCGCCAAUCGAAUCGGAGCUAUGAAAUUCGGAAUACAGAUAUUCGAUAUAUUAUAGUAUAAUGUUUAAUUUAAUGUGACAGUUACGAGAAAAUAAACGCAUUUUACUAUCAUAAUGUUUGUGCUUG